rnacentral:rRNA from 1 species
AUACAGAGGGUGCUAGCGUUGUUCGGAAUUACUGGGCGUAAAGAGCAUGUAGGCGGAUAGAUUAGUCAGAGGUGAAAGCCCCGAGCUCAACUCGGGAACUGCCUUUGAUACUGUUUAUCUAGAGACCGAGAGAGGUGAGUGGAAUUCUCAGUGUAGAGGUGAAAUUCGUAGAUAUUGGGAAGAACACCAGUGGCGAAGGCGGCUCACUGGCUCGGAACUGACGCUGAGAUGCGAAAGCGUGGGGAGCGAACAGGAUUAGAAACCCUAGUAGUCC